rnacentral:rRNA from 1 species
GUGCAGCAGGCGCGAAACCUUCGCAAUGCGGGAAACCGCGACGAGGGGACUCCCAGUGCCUACGCUCAGCGUAGGCUGUUCCCGAGCCUAGAAAGCUCGGGGAGUAAGGGCUGGGUAAGACGGGUGCCAGCCGCCGCGGUAAUACCGCAGCCCGAGUGGUGGCCACUAUUAUUGGGCCUAAAGCGUCCGUAGCCGACCCGGUAAAUGCCUGGGUAAAUCGUGAGGCCUAACCUCACGAAUUCCGGGUAGACUGCCGGGCUAGGGACCGGAGGAGGGGAGAGGGUACUCCAGGGGUAGGGGUGAAAUCCUGUAAUCCCUGGAGGACCACCGGUGGCGAAGGCGCUCUCCUAGGACGGGUCCGACGGUGAGGGACGAAAGCCA